rnacentral:rRNA from 1 species
UACGAAGGGGGCUAGCGUUGUUCGGAAUUACUGGGCGUAAAGCGCGUGUAGGCUGACCGGAAAGUCGGGCGUGAAAUCCCUGGGCUCAACCCAGGAACUGCACUCGAAACUCCCGGUCUUGAGUGGUGGAGAGGGAAGUGGAAUUCCUGGUGUAGAGGUGAAAUUCGUAGAUAUCAGGAGGAACACCAGUGGCGAAGGCGGCUUCCUGGACACCAACUGACGCUGAGACGCGAAAGCGUGGGGAGCAAACAGG